rnacentral:lncRNA from 1 species
AAAUAAAUAUUUUUUUCACAUUUGGAUAGAACAUAGUGAUAAAGUAGUUAAAAGUAGCUACUGUGAGUUUACCUUUCAAAAUUGCUGCUAAAUAUAGCUACUGUGAAUUUACUCUCAAAAACGUUAAAAAUCUCUCAAUCAAAUUCAUGUUUGUGAGACUACUCUCAAAAUCUCAUGUAUGAGCAGACUAUCUUCAUCACAUCACAUUACAUCAUCAUCACGUCACAUUACAUCACUGUCUUCAUUUCCUCUCUCGAGAGUUUGUUGUCAUCACAUCACUGUCUUUCUUUCUUGAGAGCUUGUUGUCAUCACAUCACUGUCUUCACUAUUUCUACUUCGUACAACAAAAGUGUUUUCACCAUUUCUGCUUUUUGCAAGAAAAAUCACUGUCAAACAUGAAAAAAUAUAGCAUUGUUUACCAUUUAGAAGCAAUAUAGCAUUGUUCACAAUUUAAAAACAAUAUGACAUUGGUCACAAUUUAAUCUCCUUUAAUGGUAGUCCUUUUCUUGAUUCUUGAUUCACUCACCAGUUGAUGAGAAAGAGAAAUAGCAAAGGAAUUUUACACCGGUUAAUGAGAAAGAGAAGUAGCAAUGGAGUUUUAAAGAAAUAGUGAGAGAGAGAUGGAGCAAUCUGAGGUUAUUCGAGUGAAAAAGACAGAAUUAGGAAGUGGGAGGUUAAUGGAAUGUGUUAAUGGAAUGUGAUAAGUCUAGAUCAAAGGAGACGUGGGGAACAGAUGGGAAGAGAAUGGGGUUGUGCUGUGAGGACGGUUGGUUGGAAAUGGAAAUGCAACAAGAACAUAAAGACAUAACAGCGCUUAGAGAGAGAAGAAGAGGAGAGAGAGAGGGGUUGAUUUUAAGUUUAAAAGGGAGGCACGGGCUGUAAUUUAAGAUUGUAGAGAGAGAGAGCCGGUUGAAUUUCUAUGGUUUGAUUUGAGCAUUUAUUUUAUUCAUUUAAUGGUUUCGAAGUUUACAACAUUGAAUAAAGAAAGAGAUGAGAAUUUUUAAAAGGUGAUGAGGACGGGUUAUAUUGUUAGAAUCGAAAAAUGAAGGUAGACUAGGAAUUCUUUACAAAGAGAACAUUUUGUUGUGAAAUUGGAUGGGCUUUGGAAAGAGAGUGACGGGGCUGGUUUUUUAGAGUUUGAUUCGAAUAUUUGGUUUUUUUUAAGUUUGAUUCGAAUAUUUGUUUUCUUUCUUACGUAUUAUGCAGCUAUUCUUGGCUUUUUUUUUUUUAAUAUGCAUUUUUCUUUGGAUUUUGAGAAUACUGGCUUUUGAAUAUACAUCUUUCUUUGGAUUUUGAGAAUAUUAGACGUACAAAAUCUUUGGAUUUUGAGAAUACUAGACGUACAAAUCUUAAAUGUAUUAAGCAUAAAAAUGAUUUAUAAUAAUUUAAUUUUAAUUUAAAAUAAAAGAAUAACAAAUAACUAUGGGUUGAACACAAUGUGAUCAAGAAAAUAGAUGAGAUUCCAAAUAAUUUUUUUAGAAAAUUUUUUUCUCAUUAAAUUUAUAAUUUUUUUAUUAAAACAUUAUUUUUCAAAGCUAUAAAAUACAACAGUGUAAAGCAAUUUUGAAAAAAAUUAAGUUAUUAUUUUUUGUUUAGACAUAAAUAUUAGCUAACUUUAAAUUUGUUUAUGCAUCCAGGAAAGAAAUAGAAUAACAUUCAAUGACAAAUAAUAUAAUAUAUUAAAAAUAAACUACUAAAGAAAAAAAAUAGAAUUAUAUUCAAUUAUAAUAAUAUAAUCAAAAUAAAAAUAACACAAGAUAAAUACAAAAACAAAAAAUAAAAUUAACAUACCUUUUUAGUCUCCUCCAAUGUUCUAAUAUAUUUUGUUUUACAAAUCAUCAAGCUUUCUAUUUCGGUAAACAAACUUUUUC